AGAGUUUGAUCCUGGCUCAGAACGAACGCUGGCGGCAGGCUUAACACAUGCAAGUCGAACGCGUGUAGCAAUACACGAGUGGCGCACGGGUGAGUAACGCGUGGAUAUCUGCCUUUUGGUUCGGAAUAACUCCGGGAAACUGGAGCUAAUACCGGAUGGUUCCUACGGGAUAAAGAUUUAUCGCCAAAAGAUGAGUCCGCGUACGAUUAGCUAGUUGGUGAGGUAAUGGCUCACCAAGGCGACGAUCGUUAGCUGGUCUGAGAGGACGAUCAGCCACACUGGGACUGAGACACGGCCCAGACUCCUACGGGAGGCAGCAGUGGGGAAUAUUGGACAAUGGGGGCAACCCUGAUCCAGCCAUGCCGCGUGAGUGAUGAAGGCCUUCGGGUUGUAAAGCUCUUUUGGCGGGGACGAUGAUGACGGUACCCGCAGAAUAAGCCCCGGCUAACUUCGUGCCAGCAGCCGCGGUAAGACGAAGGGGGCUAGCGUUGUUCGGAAUUACUGGGCGUAAAGCGAGUGUAGGUGGUUGUCAUAGUCAGGUGUGAAAGCCUUGAGCUCAACUCAAGAAAUGCACUUGAUACUGGGCGACUAGAGGACCGGAGAGGAUAGUGGAAUUCCCAGUGUAGUGGUGAAAUACGUAGAGAUUGGGAAGAACACCAGUGGCGAAGGCGGCUAUCUGGACGGUUUCUGACACUAAGACUCGAAAGCGUGGGGAGCAAACAGGAUUAGAUACCCCGGUAGUCC
rnacentral:rRNA from 1 species